rnacentral:rRNA from 1 species
AUUGAACGCUGGCGGCAUGCCUUACACAUGCAAGUCGAACGGCAGCACGGGAGCAAUCCUGGUGGCGAGUGGCGAACGGGUGAGUAAUAUAUCGGAACGUGCCCAGUCGUGGGGGAUGACGUAGCGAAAGCUACGCUAAUACCGCAUACGAUCUAUGGAUGAAAGCGGGGGAUCGCAAGACCUCGCGCGAUUGGAGCGGCCGAUAUCAGAUUAGGUAGUUGGUGGGGUAAAAGCUCACCAAGCCGACGAUCUGUAGCUGGUCUGAGAGGACGACCAGCCACACUGGGACUGAGACACGGCCCAGACUCCUACGGGAGGCAGCAGUGGGGAAUUUUGGACAAUGGGCGCAAGCCUGAUCCAGCAAUGCCGCGUGCAGGAUGAAGGCCUUCGGGUUGUAAACUGCUUUUGUACGGAGCGAAAAGGCUUCCACUAAUACUGGGGGCUCAUGACGGUACCGUAAGAAUAAGCACCGGCUAACUACGUGCCAGCAGCCGCCGUAAUAC